GAGGUUGUAGCUCAGUGGUAGAGCAUGUGUUUAGCAUGCACGAGGUCCUGGGUUCAAUUCCCAGGACCUCC
rnacentral:tRNA from 1 species